rnacentral:misc_RNA from 1 species
UGCAUCUGUAAAGAACAGGGGACAUGACAUCGAAGUGAUUUGGAAAGGAGAUGCAGGAAAAAUCAAUAUUAAUGGUACUAAUUACAAACUGGAACAAUGUCAUUGGCAUUCACCUUCAGAGCACACAUUCAAUGGUUCAAGAUAUGAAUUGGAGCUUCACAUGGUUCACUUUAGCUCUAAGAGGGAGAUAGCUGUUGUUGGAAUCACUUACAAAUAUGGUCGGCCUGAUCACUUCCUUUCAAGGUUACUCCACC